AGACCCGAAACCCGGUGAUCUAGCCAUGGGCAGGUUGAAGGUUGGGUAACACUAACUGGAGGACCGAACCGACUAAUGUUGAAAAAUUAGCGGAUGACCUGUGGCUGGGGGUGAAAGGCCAAUCAAACCGGGAGAUAGCUGGUUCUCCCCGAAAGCUAUUUAGGUAGCGCCUCGUGAAUUCAUCUCCGGGGGUAGAGCACUGUUUCGGCUAGGGGGCCAUCCCGGCUUACCAACCCGAUGCAAACUGCGAAUACCGGAGAAUGUUAUCACGGGAGACACACGGCGGGUGCUAACGUCCGUCGUGAAGAGGGAAACAACCCAGACCGCCAGCUAAGGUCCCAAAGUCAUGGUUAAGUGGGAAACGAUGUGGGAAGGCCCAGACAGCCAGGAUGUUGGCUUAGAAGCAGCCAUCAUUUAAAGAAAGCGUAAUAGCUCACUGGUCGAGUCGGCCUGCGCGGAAGAUGUAACGGGGCUAAACCAUGCACCGAAGCUGCGGCAGCGAACGUAUCACUUAAAGCGAUUCAGCGGGUUACGAUUGACGGAGCGAAGCGACGUCAAAGCGUAUACAAAGUCGAGUCGGUUUAAGGAUACGUUCGUUGGGUAGGGGAGCGUUCUGUAAGCCUGUGAAGGUGGCCUGUGAGGGUUGCUGGAGGUAUCAGAAGUGCGAAUGCUGACAUAAGUAACGAUAAAGCGGGUGAAAAGCCCGCUCGCCGGAAGACCAAGGGUUCCUGUCCAACGUUAAUCGGGGCAGGGUGAGUCGACCCCUAAGGCGAGGCCGAAAGGCGUAGUCGAUGGGAAACGGGUUAAUAUUCC
rnacentral:rRNA from 1 species